rnacentral:misc_RNA from 1 species
GUGAAUCAUCGAAUCUUUGAACGCAAAUUGCACUCUCCUCGGAGAGUAUGCCUGUUUGAGGUUCAGACUAUAAAAAAUCGACAUCGUUGCUGUUUCGCGGUGGCGGUCGUCGGAAAUUGGGUCAUCUUAAAUCUUUUGGUUUUAAGCGACUUAAGAUUUUCUUUUUGGUUCCAGGAACGUUUCUAUGAUUUAUUUCUUGACACGUUGAAGGUAUCUAUUUUUAUUAGACGUGACCAUCAUAUCGGAUCUCACCCAUAUUCUUUCAUUAACUGA